rnacentral:rRNA from 1 species
AGGUAAGCUACUAAGAGCGAAUGGUGGAUGCCUUGACUGGUAAAGGCGAUGAAGGACGUACUAGACUGCGAUAAGCUACGGGGAGCUGUCAAGAAGCUUUGAUCCGUAGAUUUCCGAAUGGGGCAACCCAAUGUAUAGAGAUAUACAUUACCUAUAUAGGAGCGAACGAGGGGAAUUGAAACAUCUUAGUACCCUCAGGAAAAGAAAUCAAUAGAGAUUGCGUCAGUAGCGGCGAGCGAAAGCGCAAGAGGGCAAACCCAGUGCUUGCACUGGGGGUUGUAGGACUGCAAUGUGCAAGAGGUAAGUUUAGCAGAACAUUCUGGAAAGUAUAGCCAUAGAGGGUGAUAGUCCCGUAUGCGAAAAACAAACCUUAGCUAGCAGUAUCCUGAGUAGGGCGGGACACGAGAAAUCCUGUCUGAAGCUGGGUCGACCACGAUCCAACCCUAAAUACUAAUACCAGAUCGAUAGUGCACAAGUACCGUGAGGGAAAGGUGAAAAGAACUGAGGUGAUCAGAGUGAAAUAGAACCUGAAACCAUUUGCUUACAAUCAUUCAGAGCCCUAUGUAGCAAUACAGGGUGAUGGACUGCCUUUUGCAUAAUGAGCCUGCGAGUUGUGGUGUCUGGCAAGGUUAAGCAAACGCGAAGCCGUAGCGAAAGCGAGUCUGAAUAGGGCGCUUAGUCAGAUGCUGCAGACCCGAAACGAAGUGAUCUAUCCAUGAGCAAGUUGAAGCUAGUGUAAGAACUAGUGGAGGACUGAACCCAUAGGCGUUGAAAAGCCCCGGGAUGACUUGUGGAUAGGGGUGAAAGGCCAAUCAAACUUCGUGAUAGCUGGUUCUCUCCGAAAUAUAUUUAGGUAUAGCGUUGUGUCGUAAUAUAAGGGGGUAGAGCACUGAAUGGGCUAGGGCAUACACCAAUGUACCAAACCCUAUCAAACUCCGAAUACCUUAUAUGUAAUCACAGCAGUCAGGCGGCGAGUGAUAAAAUCCGUCGUCAAGAGGGAAACAACCCAGACUACCAGCUAAGGUCCCUAAAUCUUACUUAAGUGGAAAACGAUGUGAAGUUACUUAAACAACCAGGAGGUUGGCUUAGAAGCAGCCAUCCUUUAAAGAAAGCGUAAUAGCUCACUGGUCUAGUGAUUUUGCGCGGAAAAUAUAACGGGGCUAAAGUAAGUACCGAAGCUGUAGACUUGCACACAACUUAGAUUAUUUAAGUUUAGAAUAUGAGAAACUAAGUUAUAUGUUUAGUUAUAUUUUUACUGAUUUUUAUAGAGUAAAGAUAGAAAUAAAACUUAGUAAAAUCAGUAAAAAUAUUCUUAGACUAAAGUUAAGUAGUUUAAGUUGUGUGCAAGUGGUAGGAGAGCGUUCUAUUUGCGUCGAAGGUAUACCGGUAAGGAGUGCUGGAGCGAAUAGAAGUGAGCAUGCAGGCAUGAGUAGCGAUAAUUAAUGUGAGAAUCAUUAACGCCGUAAACCCAAGGUUUCCUACGCGAUGCUCGUCAUCGUAGGGUUAGUCGGGUCCUAAGUCGAGUCCGAAAGGGGUAGACGAUGGCAAAUUGGUUAAUAUUCCAAUACCAACAUUAGUGUGCGAUGGAAGGACGCUUAGGGCUAAGGGGGCUAGCGGAUGGAAGUGCUAGUCUAAGGUCGUAGGAGGUUAUACAGGCAAAUCCGUAUAACAAUACUCCGAGAACUGAAAGGCUUUUUGAAGUCUUCGGAUGGAUAGAAGAACCCCUGAUGCCGUCGAGCCAAGAAAAGUUUCUAAGUUUAGCUAAUGUUGCCCGUACCGUAAACCGACACAGGUGGGUGGGAUGAGUAUUCUAAGGCGCGUGGAAGAACUCUCUUUAAGGAACUCUGCAAAAUAGCACCGUAUCUUCGGUAUAAGGUGUGGUUCGCUUCGUAUUAGGAUUUACUCCGAAAGCGAAGAAACUUACAACAAAGAGUCCCUCCCGACUGUUUACCAAAAACACAGCACUCUGCUAACUCGUAAGAGGAUGUAUAGGGUGUGACGCCUGCCCGGUGCUCGAAGGUUAAUUGAUGGGGUUAGCAUUAGCGAAGCUCUUGAUCGAAGCCCGAGUAAACGGCGGCCGUAACUAUAACGGUCCUAAGGUAGCGAAAUUCCUUGUCGGUUAAAUACCGACCUGCAUGAAUGGCGUAACGAGAUGGGAGCUGUCUCAAAGAGGGAUCCAGUGAAAUUGUAGUGGAGGUGAAAAUUCCUCCUACCCGCGGCAAGACGGAAAGACCCCGUGGACCUUUACUACAGCUUGACACUGCUAUUUGGAUAAGAAUGUGCAGGAUAGGUGGGAGGCUUUGAGUAUAUGACGCCAGUUGUAUAUGAGCCAUUGUUGAGAUACCACUCUUUCUUAUUUGGGUAGCUAACCAGCUUGAGUUAUCCUCAAGUGGGACAAUGUCUGGUGGGUAGUUUGACUGGGGCGGUCGCCUCCCAAAUAAUAACGGAGGCUUACAAAGGUUGGCUCAGAACGGUUGGAAAUCGUUCGUAGAGUAUAAAGGUAUAAGCCAGCUUAACUGCAAGACAUACAAGUCAAGCAGAGACGAAAGUCGGUCUUAGUGAUCCGGUGGUUCUGUGUGGAAGGGCCAUCGCUCAAAGGAUAAAAGGUACCCCGGGGAUAACAGGCUGAUCUCCCCCAAGAGCUCACAUCGACGGGGAGGUUUGGCACCUCGAUGUCGGCUCAUCGCAUCCUGGGGCUGGAGCAGGUCCCAAGGGUAUGGCUGUUCGCCAUUUAAAGCGGUACGCGAGCUGGGUUCAGAACGUCGUGAGACAGUUCGGUCCCUAUCUGCCGUGGGCGUAAGAAGAUUGAAGAGAUUUGACCCUAGUACGAGAGGACCGGGUUGAACAAACCACUGGUGUAGCUGUUGUUCUGCCAAGAGCAUCGCAGCGUAGCUAAGUUUGGAAAGGAUAAACGCUGAAAGCAUCUAAGCGUGAAGCCAACUCUAAGAUGAAUCUUCUCUAAGCUCUCUAGAAGACUACUAGUUUGAUAGGCUGGGUGUGUAAUGGAUGAAAGUCCUUUAGCUGACCAGUACUAAUAGAGCGUUUGGCUUAUCUUU